UACGUAGGGGGCAAGCGUUGUCCGGAAUCAUUGGGCGUAAAGCGCGCGUAGGCGGCUCGAUCAGUCUGCUGUGAAAGUCAAAGGCUCAACCUUUGAAUGCCGGUGGAUACUGUCGAGCUAGAGUCCGGAAGAGGCGAGUGGAAUUCCUGGUGUAGCGGUGAAAUGCGCAGAUAUCGGGAAGAACACCCGUGGCGAAGGCGGCUACUCUGGAACGCAACUGACGCUGAGACGCGAAAGCGUGGGGAGCAAACAGG
rnacentral:rRNA from 1 species